rnacentral:rRNA from 1 species
AUGGGCGGUGCCGUGAAGGUGUACGGGGUGGCGGCGUCUCCGUUCGUCGCGACGGUGCUGCUUUGCCUGGAGGAGGUCGGCGCCGACUACGAGCUCCUCCCCCUCGACAUGGCUGCGCGGGAACAGAGGACCGAGCCACACCUCUCUCGGAACCCAUUCGGCAAGAUCCCAGCGUUGGAGGACGGGGAGUUGACUCUCUUCGAAUCGCGCGCGAUUUCUCGGUACGUGCUCCGCAAGUACGGAGGCACCAGCGCCACCGAUCUUCUAAGGGCAUCCAGCCUAGAAGAAUCAGCCAUGGUGGACGUGUGGAUGGAGGUGGAGGCCCACCAGUACCAGCCGGCCAUCGCCAACGUCGUCCGGCAGUGCGUCAUCCUGCCGUUCAUCGGCGGCGCGCGAGACCAGGCCGUCGUCGAGGAGUACGUCGGGAAGCUCGAGAAGGUCCUCGACGUGUACGAGGCGCGGCUGUCGAGCUCGCCGUACCUCGCCGGGGACUUCUUCAGCCUCGCCGACCUCGUCCACUUCGGCUUCACCUACUGCCUGGUGGCCGGCACCGAGUACGCGACGCUGCUGGAGUCGCGCGCGAGCGUCAUGGCGUGGUGGGGGCGCAUCAUGGCCAGGCCCUCGGUGAAGAAAGUGGCCCCGCUCAUCCACCUCGGAUUGAAGCUAUCCUCGUCUGCUUAA